UGCUUUUAAUUCAGUUUUGUUCAGAUGUUAGAAUUGAUAUUUGUUCUUGCUUUUUGGCUUAACGAUCUCUUCAUUGUGAAGUCCGGCUACCUCGUUUGCAUAAGAACUACAGUAAUCAGGCAAGGCAUUGUCAGAAUGGGGAGGAAUAAAAUCAGUGAGUCUGGAAGGAGUGCUCUGUAUACUAUUGCAAAGAACAAAAUGGUCAUCUUUAAGGUACCUGAUUGCAUGCACUUAAAUGCACAUUAU
rnacentral:lncRNA from 1 species